UGGGGAAUAUUGCACAAUGGGGGAAACCCUGAUGCAGCGACGCCGCGUGAGCGAAGAAGGUUUUCGAAUCGUAAAGCUCUGUCCUAUGAGAAGAUAAUGACGGUAUCAUAGGAGGAAGCCCCGGCUAAAUACGUGCCAGCAGCCGCGGUAAUACGUAUGGGGCGAGCGUUGUCCGGAAUUAUUGGGCGUAAAGGGUACGUAGGCGGUCUAUUAAGUCAGGUGUGAAAGCGUGAGGCUUAACCUCAUUAAGCACUUGAAACUGAUAGACUUGAGUGAAGGAGAGGAAAGUGGAAUUCCAUGUGUAGCGGUGAAAUGCGUAGAUAUUAGGAGGAAUACCGGUGGCGAAGGCGACUUUCUGGACUUUUACUGACGCUCAGGUACGAAAGCGUGGGGAGCAAACAGG
rnacentral:rRNA from 1 species